rnacentral:lncRNA from 1 species
CAAAUUGAUUCCUUGGUUUGAGUAAUUAUGAUGUAGGAGCAAAGAAUCGAAAGCACUUCUCUUUAAAGAGCUUAAGAGAGUUGGAAAAACUUAAAACUUAUUAAGGCAACAGUUUAUGCACUCAUUGUCAUCAUAAUGGUCUAUAUCAUGGUGAAGUCUGGCCCAUUGGCUCAGUAGAUUGAGAAUGAGUAUGAGAUAAAAGUCUACCUUAGACUUUUCUGAAGGGAC